CGCUGGCGGCACGUUUAACACAUGCAAGUCGAACGAGAUCUUCGGAUCUAGUGGCAGACGGGUGAGUAACGCGUGGGAACCUGCCCUAUAGUAGAGAAUAACUCGGGGAAACUCGAGCUAAUACUUUAUACGCCCUUCGGGGGAAAGCUCUAUGCGCUAUUGGAUGGGCCCGCGUUAGAUUAGUUUGUUGGUGAGGUAACGGCUCACCAAGACUACGAUCUAUAGCUGGUCUGAGAGGAUGAUCAGCCACACUGGGACUGAGACACG
rnacentral:rRNA from 1 species